UACGUAGGGGGCAAGCGUUGUCCGGAAUCAUUGGGCGUAAAGCGCGUGUAGGCGGGUCGGUAAGUCCGCUCUGAAAGCCCGGGGCUCAACUCCGGAAUUGCCUUUAAAACUGCAUCGCUAGAAUUGUGGAGAGGUAAGUGGAAUUCCGAGUGUAGAGGUGAAAUUCGUAGAUAUUCGGAAGAACACCAGUGGCGAAGGCGACUUACUGGACACAUAUUGACGCUGAGGUGCGAAAGCGUGGGGAGCAAACAGG
rnacentral:rRNA from 1 species